CUACGGGUCGCAGCGGUGAGGAAUAUUGCACAAUGGGGGGAACCCUGAUGCAGCAACGCCGCGUGGAGGAUGACGCAUUUCGGCGUGUAAACUCCUUUUAUAUGUCAAGAAAAUGACGGUAGCAUAUGAAUAAGCACCGGCUAACUCCGUGCCAGCAGCCGCGGUAAUACGGAGGGUGCAAGCGUUACUCGGAAUCACUGGGCGUAAAGGACGCGUAGGAGGGUUGGAAAGUCAGGUGUGAAAUCCUACAGCUUAACUGUAGAACUGCACUUGAAACUUCUAAUCUAGAGUAUGGGAGGGGGAGAUGGAAUUAGUGGUGUAGGGGUAAAAUCCGUAGAUAUCACUAGGAAUACCUAAAGCGAAGGCGAUCUCCUGGAACAUUACUGACGCUAAGGCGUGAAAGCGUGGGGAGCAAACAGGAUUAGAUACCCCAGUAGUC
rnacentral:rRNA from 1 species